GACGAACGCUGGCGGCGUGCCUAAUACAUGCAAGUCGAGCGGACUGAAUGGGAGCUUGCUCUUGUUCGGUCAGCGGCGGACGGGUGAGUAACACGUGGGCAACCUGCCCGCAAGACCGGGAUAACUCCGGGAAACCGGAGCUAAUACCGGAUAACACCGAAGACCGCAUGGUCUUUGGUUGAAAGGCGGCGCAAGCUGCCACUUGCGGAUGGGCCCGCGGCGCAUUAGCUAGUUGGUGAGGUAACGGCUCACCAAGGCGACGAUGCGUAGCCGGCCUGAGAGGGUGACCGGCCACACUGGGACUGAGACACGGCCCAGACUCCUACGGGAGGCAGCAGUAGGGAAUCUUCCGCAAUGGGCGAAAGCCUGACGGAGCGACGCCGCGUGAGCGAAGAAGGCCUUCGGGUCGUAAAGCUCUGUUGUGAGGGACGAAGUAGCGCCGUUUGAAGAAGGCGGCGCGGUGACGGUACCUCACGAGGAAGCCCCGGCUAACUACGUG
rnacentral:rRNA from 1 species